rnacentral:rRNA from 1 species
UGAACGCUGGCGGCGUGCCUAACACAUGCAAGUCGAACGAGAACGGGUAUUAGCUUGCUAAUACUGUCAGCUAAGUGGCGCACGGGUGAGUAAUAUAUAGUUAACCUGCCCCAAAGAAGAGAAUAAUUGUUGGAAACGACUUGUAAUGCUCUAUAUGCCUUUAUCACAUAAGUGAGCAAGGGAAACAUUUAUGGCUUUGGGAUGGGACUGUACGGUAUCAGUUUGUUGGUGAGGUAAUGGCUCACCAAGACUAUGACGCCUAACUGGUUUGAGAGGAUGAUCAGUCACACUGGAACUGAGACACGGUCCAGACUCCUACGGGAGGCAGCAGUGGGGAAUAUUGCACAAUGGAGGAAACUCUGAUGCAGCAACGCCGCGUGGAGGAUGACACAUUUAGGUGCGUAAACUCCUUUUAUAUGAGAAGAUAAUGACGGUAUCAUAUGAAUAAGCACCGGCUAACUCC